UAUAGGAGGACGGAGAGGAUGGCGGCCAUGGAGCCGUGGAGGUAGGUUACGUCCAGUGUCAUGGCCACGUGGACUGCCUCGUCUAAACAUGUGUUGGUGGGUGAGAGGCGAAUGGUGGGACUGCAUUUAAAGCUUGAAUGGUGUUCACGUUCUACGGAACUAAAGAUAUUUGGUAUGAGCUUAUCAAGAUGAAUCAUUUUAGGGGAUUAUCACUUGGUAUUGUUAAGCUAUUCUCUAAGCAGCACCUCUUGGAACCAGAGAUGACCUUGUGACUAAUUUCUCAAAGUUCUUGCCAUCAAGAAGAGGCAUGUUGGCCGGGAAAGAACUAUUAGAGCCUAGAACUCUUGUCAUUGUGAAAUUCAAGUGAGAUAUUUAUAUUAGA